CUUUUAAUCAAGUCGAUGCUUUGAUUGCAAAGAUUCAACUCAUUUGCCACACCAUCAAUAAAAUUCAAAUUACGCUUCUGUCGAUUGAUUGAUGGUUGGAUGCUUAACGUCCAGUGGUAAAUAUUACAUGCAUAAUAAACGUGUAGAGAGUGUGACAUUCUCUCUACAAGAGGCAUCGGAUUUAACGUUUUCACUCUGACCGGAUGGGACUGUAGACCCUUCAAACGGACUCCCCACACUUUGGCAAUGGUUUUACUGACGAUCGGAACAAGACCAAUAGUUUCCAUAUUUUUUUACCCCGAUCAACUUUGAGUCGAGCGCGCAACCAUAGAGACAGUUAUGAAUAUGGAAGAUACAUAUACAUGUACGUAUAAUAGUCUGGAAAUAAAUUAUAAAAGUAUGCUAAAAAAAAAAAGAAGGAACCC
rnacentral:lncRNA from 1 species